GGGCGCCGUCUAUCGCGACAUGUGGCCCCGCGACAUGAAGGCAGCUAGAACGAGGACGCCGCGGAGGCCGGUGCCCAAGAAGCCGUCGAACCCCUGCGUGAGGGAUCCCGUGGGGGUGUACUGCAGGGUGAGGCCGCUGAGCCGCCCGGACCAGGAGUGCUGCAUCGAGGUGAUCGAUGAGACCACGGUGCAGAUCCACCCGCCCGAGGGAUACCGGAUAUUUCGCAACGGGGAGUACCGGGAGACACAAUAUUCCUUCAAAGAGGUGUUUGGUGCCCUUGUUGUUCAGAAGCAGCUCUUUGAUGUGGUGGCUAAACCGCUAGUAGAAGAUCUCAUUCGUGGGAGAAAUGGUCUCCUUUUUACGUACGGUGUGACAGGCAGUGGAAAAACACACACCAUGACAGGCUCUCCUGGUGAUGGAGGACUUCUCCCUCGGUGUUUGGAUAUGAUCUUUAACAGCAUAGGACCCUUCCAGGCCAAGCGAUUUGUUUUUAAGCUUGAUGACAAGAACGGUGUGGAGGUUCAGUGUGAAGUAGAUGCCCUAUUAGAGCGCCAGAAAAGAGAUGCCAUGCCUAUUCCAAAAACUCCAUCGGGCAAGCGACAAAUCGAUCCGGAAUUCGCGGAUAUGAUCAAUGUGCAGGAUCACUGCAAAGUGGAAGACGUUGAUGAAGAUAAUGUCUACAGUGUCUUUGUCUCCUAUAUUGAGAUCUACAACAACUACAUAUAUGACCUCCUGGAGGAAGCUCCCUUUGAGCCUAUAAAACCCAAGUGGAACAAUUGCAACACUCCUGUGCGAAAUGGUGACUUUAUACCUCCACAGUCCAAAGUGCUUCGUGAGGACCAGAAUCACAACAUGUAUGUAACAGGAUGCACCGAAGUAGAGGUGAAAUCUACAGAAGAAGCUUUUGAAGUGUUCUGGCGAGGUCAAAAGAAGAGGCGGAUUGCAAACACUCAGCUGAAUCGAGAAUCCAGUCGUUCUCACAGUGUUUUCAUGAUAAAGUUGGCUCAGGCACCGCUGGAUGCAGACGGAGACAACGUGCUGCAGGAGAAAGAGCAGAUCACUUUAAGCCAGCUGUCUUUAGUUGAUCUGGCUGGAAGUGAAAGAACUAAUAGAACAAAAGCUGAAGGGAACAGGUUGCGAGAAGCAGGUAAUAUUAAUCAGUCACUGAUGACAUUGAGAACAUGUCUUGAAGUCCUGCGGGAAAACCAAAUGUGUGGAACAAAUAAGAUGGUUCCAUACAGAGAUUGCAAACUGACUCAUCUCUUCAAGAACUAUUUUGAUGGUGAAGGGAAAGUGCGUAUGAUUGUGUGUGUUAACCCUAAAGCUGAGGACUACGAAGAAAGCCUGCAAGUGAUGCGCUUUGCGGAGAUGGCGCAGGAGGUUGAAGUGGCGAGACCUGCCGACAGACCCAUCUGUGCCCUGACACCGGGCCGGCGCUUCAGGAAUCAGGCCUUCAGAGAGGAGCUCCAAAGGAAGCUGGAGAUGAGGGGGGGGCCAAUAAAUGAAGAGACAGAAGAGCAAGCUGUUUCAGAACUGCUUUUGCAGAACUUUCCUCCCUUGCCUUCAUGUGAGCUAUUGGAUAUUAAUGAUGAUCAAACACUUCCAAAGUUGAUUGAAGUCCUGGAAAAACGCCAUAAAAUACGACAGUUGUUGUCAGAGGAGAUUGCCAAAACUGUGCGUGCAUUUAAAACAGCGCUGCAAGAAUUUGAGUCCAGCGUUGCAUCCAAGGAAAACUAUGUUCAAGGGAAACUGUCUGAAAAAGAGAAAACAAUAGCAGGGCAAAAAAUGGAGCUGGAACGCCUGGAGAAGAAAAUAAAAACUUUGGAAUACAAGAUUCAUAUCUUGGAGAAAACUACAACAAUUUAUGAAGAAGACAAACGUAAUCUUCAGCAAGAGCUAGAAAGCAAGAGCCAGCAACUGCAGCGUCAGGCUUCGGACAAGCGCAGGAUGGAGGCACGAUUGCAAGGCAUGGUGACAGAAACCAGCGUGAAAUGGGAGAAGGAGUGUGAGCGUCGUGUGGCAGCAAAGCAGCUGGAAAUGCAGAACAAACUUUGGGUUAAAGAUGAAAAACUGAAGCAGCUGAAGGCCAUUGUUGCUGAACCAAAAAAUGAGAAGCCAGAGAGGCCUUCACGAGUGAGAGACCGAGAGAAGCCUGUUCAGAGAUCAGUGUCUCCUCCACCGGCACCUCCUCCUAGUAACUCUGUUACUCAGGUCCCUAACAGCCAGCGGCUCGUGAGCAACCCGCAGGUGCACAGACGUUCUAACUCUUGUAGCAACAUUUCUGUGGCAUCCUGUGUUAUGAAAUGGGAGCAGAAAACCCCUUUGCACAAGCCUACCAGUGGCACUUCUAAUGCAAGGAAUAGACAACAAGAACCAGAACAAAAUAGAGACUAUAACAUCUCAAACAGAAGGCGAGGGAUGUGCUGGACUGGAGUCACUGAGCUUCCCAGGCAUAGAGAUGAGCUAGAAAUAGAAGAGGAUCAAUGCCACAGGAGCGCACCUCCAGUUCGGCUCAGACACAGACGGUCCCGCUCAGCUGGGGAGAGAUGGGUGGAUCAUAAACCACCUUCUAAUGUGCCCACUGAGACAGUCAUGCAGCCUCAAGUGCCUCAUGCCAUCACGGUGGCAGCUGCAAGCGAAAAGGCUCUAGCUAAGUGUGACAAGUACAUGCUGACGCACCAGGAGCUAGCCUCUGAUGGGGAGAUUGAAACUAAGCUCAUUAAGGGUGAUGUUUUCAAAACCAGAGGUGGUGGACAGGCUGUGCAGUUCACUGAGAUAGAGACUCUGAAGCAGGAAUCUCCAACUGGUCGAAAACGAAGAUCAUCACCUUCCAAUCCUGACCAGCCUGAGGAUGCUGCAGACUCGGAAUGGACUGAUGUGGAAACCAGAUGUUCUGUGGCAGUGGAGAUGAGGGCAGGAUCAGCUCUCGGACCUGGGUAUCAGCAUCAUGCUCAGCCCAACUAGGUGCUGGCACUGCUCCGGAGGUGUCCUGUUCAGCUCAGAGGAAGAAAAUGCAGUUUUGCAAGACCUUUGCAGCAGGAGAAAGGGCUGGAGAGAGACAAAAUGUUUGUGAAGGCAAAAUCAACUAAACUCACUGCAUUUGGAACCCAGAAAGUUUAGAACUGUGGUGGAAGGGUAUUUUGGAGAGUGUCUGAAAGUGUCCCCCUUUCAGAUAAGGCGAAGAAAACCAUGAACUUCAUGUGCUGCUGCAUUGGAUUCCUCUUGAUUUUAUCAGACUGAUGUAAUCUCUGCUGCCAAUGAUAAACCUGAUGAAAACUGCUGUGCUAUCCCCACAGGCUGGUGUUUUCAUAACCUCCUGUGGUAGGCAAUGGUUAAAUGGGAGAUACCUCUUGCAGUCCCAAAGAAGCAUGUGCGUGGCUGUGUGUGUUUUCA